AUUGAACGCUGGCGGCAUGCCUUACACAUGCAAGUCGAACGGCAGCACGGGGCAACCUGGUGGCGAGUGGCGAACGGGUGAGUAAUGCAUCGGAACGUGCCAUUGAGUGGGGGAUAACGUAGCGAAAGUUGCGCUAAUACCGCAUAUUCUGUGAGCAGGAAAGCAGGGGACCGCAAGGCCUUGCGCUCUUUGAGCGGCCGAUGUCAGAUUAGCUAGUUGGUGAGGUAAAGGCUCACCAAGGCGACGAUCCGUAGCUGGUCUGAGAGGAUGAUCAGCCACACCGGAACUGAGACACGGUCCGGACUCCUACGGGAGGCAGCAGUGGGGAAUAUUGCGCAAUGGGCGAAAGCCUGACGCAGCCAUACCGCGUGUGUGAAGAAGGCC
rnacentral:rRNA from 1 species